GGGGGGAGCGCUGGAUCUUGGGCUGUGUCUCCGGUGCCCGGUGCUCCCGGGCCUGCGCUGUUGGAACUGCUCCCGGACGCGCAGCUCCCU
rnacentral:pre_miRNA from 1 species